CGUUUGACACCCAGGAUGUGACCUCUGCGUUCGCUGCUCGGGCAGCGCUGCCCACCUUCGGGGGCAUCGCCGUGACCACUGGCGUUUAGGGAAGGAAGCGUUGGCCGGCCCGGAACCGACGGGGAGGAGGAGAAGGAGGAGGAAGGGCUGAAGGGGUUUCGAUCCAGGAGGUGCAGCAGCCGCAGCAGUUCAAAGUGAUGUACGAAAGGACGAGUUUUAUCAAAGUUGUUAUAAGCCACUGUAUGAAGUUGAUGCCCAAAAAGCCUUUACAUCAGUGAAGAAAGCUAUCGUGUUUUAUAACCAAAGGAACGCUAAUUGGGGAAUUGAUUGAAAGGCAAUAAAAUUCUGUUUCCUAAGUCA
rnacentral:lncRNA from 1 species